rnacentral:tRNA from 1 species
GUAGCUCAGUGGUAGAAUGCUUGCCUUGCAUGCAUGAGGUCCUGGGUUCGAUUCCCCAGC